rnacentral:rRNA from 1 species
UCCAGACUCCUACGGGAGGCAGCAGUGGGGAAUACUGCACAAUGGGGGAAACCCUGAUGCAGCGACGCCGCGUGGGUGAAGAAGUAUUUCGGUAUGUAAAGCCCUAUCAGCAGGGAAGAAAGAAGACGGUACCUGACUAAGAAGCCCCGGCUAACUACGUGCCAGCAGCCGCGGUAAUACGUAGGGGGCGAGCGUUAUCCGGAUUCACUGGGUGUAAAGGGAGCGUAGACGGCCGUGCAAGCCAGGAGUGAAAGCCCGGGGCCCAACCCCGGGACUGCUCUUGGAACUGUGCGGCUGGAGUGCGGGAGGGGCAGGCGGAAUUCCUGGUGUAGCGGUGAAAUGCGUAGAUAUCAGGAGGAACACCGGCGGCGAAGGCGGCCUGCUGGACCGCGACUGACGUUGAGGCUCGAAAGCGUGGGGAGCGAACAGGAUUAGAUACCCGAGUA